AUGAACGCUGGCGGCGUGCCUAAUACAUGCAAGUCGAGCGAACGGACGAGAAGCUUGCUUCUCUGAUGUUAGCGGCGGACGGGUGAGUAACACGUGGAUAACCUACCUAUAAGACUGGGAUAACUUCGGGAAACCGGAGCUAAUACCGGAUAAUAUUUUGAACCGCAUGGUUCAAAAGUGAAAGACGGUCUUGCUGUCACUUAUAGAUGGAUCCGCGCUGCAUUAGCUAGUUGGUAAGGUAACGGCUUACCAAGGCAACGAUGCAUAGCCGACCUGAGAGGGAGAUCGGCCAGACGGGAGGUGAGAUACGGACCAGACGCAUACGGGAGGCAGCAGUAGGGAAUCUGCCGCGAUGGGCGAAAGCCUGACGGAGCAACGCCGCGUGAGAGAUGAAGGUCUUCGGAUCGUAAAACUCUGUUAUUAGGGAAGAACAUAUGUGUAAGUAACUGUGCACAUCUUGACGGUACCGAAUCAGAAAGCCACGGCUAACUACGUG
rnacentral:rRNA from 1 species